rnacentral:rRNA from 1 species
GACGAACGCUGGCGGCGUGCCUAACACAUGCAAGUGGAGCGACGAACCAGGCUUCGGCCUGGGGCAAAGCCGCGAACGGGUGAGUAACACGUGGGUAACCUGCCCUGAUGAUUGGGACAACCCGAGGAAACUCGGGCUAAUACCAAAUGUGCCCUUCGGCCAUAAGGCCGCCGGGGAAAGGAAGCUUCGGCCUCCGCAUCUGGAUGGGCCCGCGGCCCAUUAGCUUGUUGGUGAGGUAACGGCUCACCAAGGCGACGAUGGGUAGCUGGUCUGAGAGGACGAUCAGCCACACUGGGACUGAGACACGACCCAGACUCCUACGGGAGGCAGCAGUGGGGAAUCUUGCGCAAUGCGCGAAAGCGUGACGCAGCAACGCCGCGUGGGGGAAGAAGGCCU